rnacentral:tRNA from 1 species
UCUAAAAUGGCAGAAUAGUGCAAUAGAUUUAAAAUCUUUAUAUAUAAAUUAAUUUAUUUUUAGAA